rnacentral:rRNA from 1 species
ACUCCUACGGGAGGCAGCAGUGGGGAAUAUUGCACAAUGGGCGCAAGCCUGAUGCAGCCAUGCCGCGUGUGUGAAGAAGGCCUUCGGGUUGUAAAGCACUUUCAGCAGUGAGGAAGGCGGAGUCGUUAAUAGCGGCCUCGUUUGUACGUUAGCUGCAGAAGAAGCACCGGCUAACUCCGUGCCAGCAGCCGCGGUAAUACGGAGGGUGCGAGCGUUAAUCGGAAUUACGUGGCGUAAAGCGCAUGCAGGUGGUUUGUUAAGUCAGAUGUGAAAGCCCGGGGCUCAACCUCGGAAUAGCAUUUGAAACUGGCAGACUAGAGUACUGUAGAGGGGGUAGAAUUUCAGGUGUAG